rnacentral:rRNA from 1 species
GACGAACGCUGGCGGCGUGCUUAACACAUGCAAGUCGAACGAAGAGCGACGGAAGCUUGCUUCUAUCAAUCUUAGUGGCGCACGGGUGAGUAACGCGUAAUCAACCUGCCCUUCAGAGGGGGACAACAGUUGGAAACGACUGCUAAUACCGCAUACGAUCUAACCUCGGCAUCGAGGAUAGAUGAAAGGUGGCCUCUACAUGUAAGCUAUCACUGAAGGAGGGGAUUGCGUCUGAUUAGCUAGUUGGGGGGGUAACGGCCUACCAAGGCGAUGAUCAGUAGCCGGUCUGAGAGGAUGAACGGCCACAUUGGGACUGGGACACGGCCCAGACUCCUACGGGAGGCAGCAGUGGGGAAUCUUCCGCAAUGGACGAAAGUCUGACGGAGCAACGCCGCGUGAGUGAUGACGGCCUUCGGGUUGGAAAGCUCUGUUAAUCGGGACGAAAGGCCUUCUUGCGAAUAGUGAGAAGGAUUGACGGUACCUGAAUAGAAAGCCACGGCUAACUACGUG